GAUGAACGCUAGCGGCAGGCUUAACACAUGCAAGUCGAGGGGUAUAGGUUUUCGGACCUAGAGACCGGCGCACGGGUGCGUAACGCGUAUGCAAUCUACCUUUUGCAGAGGGAUAGCCCAGAGAAAUUUGGAUUAAUACCUCAUAGUAUAACACAAUCGCAUGAUUGAGUUAUUAAAGUCACAACAGCAAAAGAUGAGCAUGCGUCCCAUUAGCUAGAUGGUAAGGUAACGGCUUACCAUGGCUACGAUGGGUAGGGGUCCUGAGAGGGAGAUCCCCCACACUGGUACUGAGACGCGGACCAGACUCCUACGGGAGGCAGCAGUGAGGAAUAUUGGUCAAUGGACGCAAGUCUGAACCAGCCAUGCCGCGUGCAGGAUGACGGUCCUAUGGAUUGUAAACUGCUUUUGUACAGGAAGAAACACUCCUUCGUGAAGGAACUUGACGGUACUGUAAGAAUAAGGAUCGGCUAACUCCGUGCCAGCAGCCGCAGUAA
rnacentral:rRNA from 1 species